rnacentral:tRNA from 1 species
AUUUAAGUAGCCUAUUUAGGGUGUAGUAUUGAAGAUACUGAGGAAGCAAUUUGCUCUUAAAUA